rnacentral:lncRNA from 1 species
CCACUGUUCCGGGACCGGAAAUAGAGAUCCAAGGACUUCCGGGCUGCUAAAUGGAACCUCUGGCAGUUAUGGAGCCGCUGUGGAGAGGGGGAACUUCAUGAGUCAUUUUAGCCAUUUAUUAUGAAUAUGUGCUUUGAAACUAAAUGAAGGCACAUCUCUUUCAGGCAAAGAACUCUCAACCUGAAAGUCCUGACACUGUGGGGAAAAUGAAAUACGCAAAGGAGGUAAGAGAUAUGUCAGCUUUGAAUAUGUAAGCUGUCAUAUAUUUGUAAUUUUUAUGUAU